UCCAUGCAUUAAUUGAUUUUCUUGAUAUUUGUUCCUUUUUCAAAAACUCUUCACAUCCCUAUCACUUCGAUUUCUUUCUUUUGUUUACUCAACCACCACUUCUUCAUGACCUUCUUCAAAGAACUAUUAGCUCUCUUCUCCUUCUUUAAAAGAACUCUCUCACUCUCUCUUGGUUCCUCACUUCAAAAGGACUCGCACCAGAUUAAUGGACUCUCUAAAGAAUGUCAUUUAAAACCUUGUCUCUCUUGAAAUCGACUUUCUUUCAUUCUACCAUGACUCCUCUGAAGCAGAGUUCUGUGUCAAACCCCUCUCUUCCAAAAAAGACCUUUAUUUGCUAUGAAAAAGGAGAUCAAUAAAACACGCUCUGACUUAUCUAUUACUUUUAGACCAGAGGACAAGCUUGAUCAAAAGGUGAAAUAUGAAACUCUCAAGAAAAGACAUGUGGUACCUGGACGAGUAAUCAACUUAGAACAACCAGAAGAAUCUCAUUGUCUGGACCUUUCCUAAGCAUGGGAUAUACUCCUGUCGAAAAAGAGUGGUACGAAAAGUAGACUAUUAAAGAAAGAAUUGAUGCUCCAAAAGUUACUCGAAUCUCUGCUGAUUCGUCAUCCCUUCUCCUCAAGGAAGCUCAGGAUAUUAAGACUCUUCUGGUUGCCUUAGAUUCACACAUGCAGGAAACCAUAGAGAAGAUUCUGCAGGUUAGCAAAGACACCAGCACUGAUGUGGGGAAACAUCGACUAUCCAUGGAGACACUGAAGAAAGAUGGGGUGAGGACUAUCAACAGAUUGAUUAAGCAAGUUGAAUUGCUUAAAGCUAGAGCCGACUCCUCCAACAAUGAGUUGGUUAUUUCUAUGCAAAAUUUCUACUGGAACUUUUCCAAGAAGGUUGAACGUUCUUAUAACUCUUUCUGCAGGAACAUUCUCAACACAGUUUUAAGUAUUUUCUUGAUAGUCGUUAAACUUAGGUCUAUGUCUCAUUUGUUAUUUUUUUAUCAGACAAUAUUUUAGGGAAUAUGUCCCCUUCUACUUCUGGACAUACUGGGGCUCUUUCUUCCCUCACACUGAUUGCUUAACUUUUUCCCAGACUAAUUUAUAAUUGAAUGUUUGCUAUUAUAUUAUUGUGCAUUCUUUGUUUUUCCUUUUUGAUUAUGCCUAAGGGGGGAAAUAGUACCUAUACAAGAAAUCAAGACAGGGGAGCACAAAAACGAGGUGAACAGCAUAAAUAAAAGACAUUUCAAAAUAACAGGGAAGUUGAAAAAUAAAUCUUGUAUAGAUAAAAUGUCAUUAUCAAAAAGGAGGAGAUUUUUAACAUGUGAGAUUUUGACUAAUGACCCAUAUCUGGUGUAGGAACAAUACCUCAUAAGAAAAGGUUGAUUCACUGGAGUUAGAAAUGGAAAGAAGAUAAAUCUAGAAGCAAUGAUUUGCUGGAAUCAAAAAGGAAAAGAAGAGGAAGAUGGACAAUAGGAAGAUCCAGCGUAAAUCAAGCAAUGAAGAUUAAUUUGAAGAUACCAAGAAGUAUCAUCAAGAGAAAUAAAGGAAGGAAUCAUCACUGUUGCAUACACAUAUGGAAGAUUGCAGAUAAUUACUCAAUCAUAGAAAUACUCUGUAUAAGGUAGAGUCCUACCUAAAGACAGACAUAACUGAUAUGGACAUGUACACUUAAUCAAGGAAAUAUCACAAAUCCUUGAUUGAAUGAAACUCUACUGGUUUCUUUUAUUAGAGCUAACGGCCACCUCACAAAGGUUGUAUAUAAAGUCCUCCUCGUUAACCUAAAUAGUUACGCGCUUCACUUGAAAUUGUACUUUUGCUUUUCUUUCAUCUUUCCAAAAGCUUUGUAUUCAAUUGAGUCUAUAAUUGUAACAUAAAAGAGAAAUAACUAUCUCUAGCAUGGGUUAUAUGAGUA